rnacentral:lncRNA from 1 species
AAUAAGUAUGAUGUAGACACUCAAAACCAAAACUUGUUAAUCAAUUUCAUUAAAGAAAAAAGCUAACUGAUUGGAAGCACAGCUGAACCAAGCAUCAUGCGCAGAGCCACCAAGCAUCAUGCGCAGAGCCACCAAGCAUCAUAACCAGAGCCACCAUGCAUCAAAUUUAAUAGAAACAAACGGAUCAAAUUCAAUUUUGAAACAGAAUGAAAGCGCAAAAUUCAAAGUUAAUGGAAACAAACGGAUCAAUUAUAAGGUUCAAAACGACACUAUUUGCGAUUUUAAAUGGAAACAAACGGAUCAUUUCAAAAUUCCCAAUCUUUUCAAAUCAUAUGAACCCUAAUUUAUUUUGAAAACUUUCUGAGUCAUGCUCGAACCCUAAUUUGGUUUAAACACGACAUGUUAACAUCAGAGAACACUAAUUUUGCUACCCUUAAUUCCCAAUUGUGAAACGCCUAAUUUCUGACACAACCCUAAACCCUAAUUUACGAUCUACAAGUGAAAUCAGAAAGAAAUCAUAGCUUUACUUACCAUUUUCUCCAGCAGAUGAUGAUAAAGACGGAUUAAAAACGCAAUCUCCAUUCAAUUCGACGGAUGAAGCCGAGCGGCUGAGAUUUUCCUGGUGGAAACUUCGAGAAUUAGAGAGAGAGAGAGAGGGAGACAACAUCAGAGAGUGAAGAAGGCAGAUCAAAAACGAGAUUCCUGAGAGAAAGAGAUGAAAUCGACGGAUCAAAACCGUCGGAGUGAUGAAAUCGUCGGCGUUUCGCGAAAAUAGAGAGAGAGAAGAAAUCACGAAAACAGAACA